rnacentral:lncRNA from 1 species
GAUGAUGUUUAUGUCUGUAAUUUAAUUACAUAAGCACUCGUCAAGUUUCAGGAGAAAAUGAGCUAAAACGGAGAAGUUACGCGAUUAUUAGUUUUCAUUUAAGUGAAUAGUAACUCCGGUUUUUCGGUGAAGCCACGGAGUAGAGUUGGCUUUCUACGGGUAUCGGACUCUGUUCAUAGCGAUCCAAUAGCUCGUUUCGACCGGUUCAGCUAUUCUCGAACUACUGGCGCUAACGGAUUUUGAGUUUGAUGCACGAAUUUCGAGAAAAUCCAAAAAUACAUGUUUUAUAU